rnacentral:rRNA from 1 species
UACGUAGGGAGCAAGCGUUGUCCGGAAUCAUUGGGCGUAAAGCGCGCGUAGGUGGCCAUGUAAGUCCGCUGUGAAAGUCAAAGGCUCAACCUUUGAAAGCCGGUGGAUACUGCAUGGCUAGAGUACGGAAGAGGCGAGUGGAAUUCCUGGUGUAGCGGUGGAAUGCGCAGAUAUCAGGAAGAACACCGGUGGCGAAGGCGGCUCUCUGGGCAUUACCUGACGCUGAGGAGCGAAAGUGUGGGGAGCGAACAGG